ACGGCGAGUGAAGCGGCAAAAGCUCAAAUUUUAAAGCUGGCAUCUUCGGUGCCCGCGUUGUAAUUUUGUGAGGCAUCUCCGGGUAGGGCGCCGGCCUAAGUUCCUUGGAACAGGACGUCACAGAGGGUGAGAAUCCCGUGCUUGGCUGGCUGUCCCCGCCCACGUGAGGUGUCUUCGACGAGUCGAGUUGUUUGGGAAUGCAGCUCAAAAUGGGUGGUAAAUUUCAUCUAAAGCUAAAUAUUGGUGGGAGACCGAUAGCGCACAAGUAGAGUGAUCGAAAGAUGAAAAGCACUUUGAAAAUAGAGUUAAAAAGUACGUGAAAUUGUUGAAAGGGAAGCGCUUGAGACCAGACUUCGGUAGGGGGUGAUCAGCCGUCCUUCUGGGCGGUGCACUUGCCCCCCCUCCGGGCCAGCAUCGGUUGAGGCGGCGGGAUAAAGGUCCCGGGAAUGUGGCUCCCUCACGGGAGUGUUAUAGCCCGGGUGAAUGCCGCCAGCCUCGACCGAGGACCGCGCCCGCAAGGGCUAGGAUGCUUG
rnacentral:rRNA from 1 species